rnacentral:rRNA from 1 species
UAGGGGAGAAAUUCCAAUCGAACCCGGAGAUAGCUGGUUCUCCCCGAAAUAGCUUUAGGGCUAGCGUCGCAGCGAGAGAGCCGUGAAGGUAGAGCACUGAAUAUGCGAUGGCCGCAUCCCGCGGUACUGAGCAUAAUCAAACUCCGAAUGUCACGGUGUCAUCUGCGGCAGUCAGACGGCGAGUGAUAAGGUCCGUCGUCAAGAGGGAAACAGCCCAGACCAUCAGCUAAGGUCCCAAAGUGCAUGCUAAGUGGAAAAGGAAGUGGAGACGUGCAGACAACUAGGAGGUUGGCUCAGAAGCAGCCAUCCUUCAAAGAGUGCGUAACAGCUCACUAGUCGAAUGACUCUGCGCCGAUAAUUUACCGGGGCUAAGCAUGACACCGAAGCUAUGGACAGGAAUGUGGUAGGGGAGCAUUGCAUGCAGCGGAGAAGCAUGACCGAGAGGGCAUGUGGAGCGCAUGGAAGAGAGAAUGCCGGCGUGAGUAGCGGCACGUGGGUGAGAAUCCCACGCACCGAUGGCCCAAGGUCUCCAGAGGAAGGCUCGUCCUCUCUGGGAUAGUCGGGACCUAAGGCGAGGCCGAAAGGCGUAGCCGAUGGACGACGGGUGGAUAUUCCCGUACCCGAUGUGUGGCGAUGGAGUGACGGAGAAGGCUCAGGCAACCAGCUGCUGGAAUAGCUGGGGCAAGCGAGAUACCUGCGCACCAGGGAAAUCCGGUGCGCGCAGGGGGAAGGCGCGAAGCAUACGGAAAGCUGCGGCAAGUACGGAAAAGCUGAGAGCAGGCUUCCAGGAAAAGCUUCUAGCACAACACGCAUCGGCCCGUACCGAAAAUGGACACACAUGGGCAAGGAGAGAAUCCUGAGGUGAGCGAGAGAACUAUAGCUAAGGAACUCUGCAAAAUGACCCCGUAACUUAGGGAGAAGGGGUGCUCCAGAAAUGGAGCCGCAGUAAAACGGCCCAAGCGACUGUUUACCAAAAACACAGCUCUCUGCGAAGGCGCAAGCCGAAGUAUAGGGGGUGACGCCUGCCCGGUGCUGGAAGGUCAAGGGGAGCUGUCAGCGCAAGCGAAGCAGCGAGCCGAAGCCCCAGUAAACGGCGGCCGUAACUAUAACGGUCCUAAGGUAGCGAAAUUCCUUGUCGGGCAAGUUCCGACCCGCACGAAAGGCGUAACGAUUUGGGCGCUGUCUCAGCUGUAGACUCGGUGAAGUCUUAGUACCUGUGAAGAUGCAGGUUGCCCGCGACUAGACGGAAAGACCCCAUGGAGCUUCACUGCAGGUUGACAUUGGGCUUGGAUGCAUGAUGUACAGGAUAGGUGGGAGGCUGUGAGCCGUGCGCGCCAGCGUACGGGGAGCCGCUGUUGGGAUACCACCCUUCAUGCAUCUAGGUCCUAACCGGAGGCAACGGGCCACGGGACAGUGUCAGUCGGGCAGUUUGACUGGGGCGGUCGCCUCCCAAAGAGUAACGGAGGCGCCCAAAGAUACCCUCAGCAUGGAUGGAAACCAUGCAUAGAGUGCAAAGGCAUAAGGGUGUCUGACUGCGAGACAUACAGGUCGAGCAGGGACGAAAGUCGGGCUUAGUGAUCCGGCGGAUCCGAAUGGAAGGGCCGUCGCUCAACGGAUAAAAGCUACCCUGGGGAUAACAGGCUGAUCUCCCCCAA